rnacentral:rRNA from 1 species
UCAAGAUACUAAGGGCGUAUGGUGGAUGCCUUGGCACCGGAAGCCGAUGAAGGACGUGGCAAGCUGCGAUAAGCCGUGUGGAGCCGCAAGCGGGCUAUGAAGCACGGAUCUCCGAAUGGGGAAACCCGGCACGGGUAAUGCCGUGUCACCCCUACCUGAACACAUAGGGUAGGAGGAGGGAACCCGGGGAAAUGACACAUCUGAGUACCCGGAGGAAAAGAAAGAAAGUCUCGAUUCCCUGAGUAGUGGCGAGCGAAAGGGGAGAUAGCCCAAACCGGAUGCGUGAAAGCCUGCGGGCGUUGCGUAUUCGGGGUUGUAGGACCAACACGGUCGUCCCGCAGGGCGGCCAGGGAGUUACAAAACGCGCGGGUAGCCGAACCAGUCAGGAAAGUCUGACCGCAGAGGGUUACAGUCCCGUAGGCGAAACUCGGGCGACUCCUUGUUGGCACCUGAGUAGAUCCGGACACGUGAAACCCGGAUCGAAUCCGCGGGGACCACCCCGCAAGGCUAAAUACUAACGGUGACCGAUAGCGAACCAGUACCGUGAGGGAAAGGUGAAAAGUACCCCGCAAGGGGAGUGAAAUAGUACCUGAAACCAUACGCUUACAAGCGGUCGGAGCAAUCUUUUGGAUUGUGACGGCGUACUUUUUGCAUAACGGGCCAGCGAGUUGCUGGUGUCUGGCAAGGUUUAGCUAAGAGCGAGCCGAAGCGAAAGCGAGUCUGAACAGGGCGUAUAGUCAGAUGCCGCAGACCCGAAACCGGGUGAGCUAUCCAUGGCCAGGCUGAAGCGGGGGUAAGACCUCGUGGAGGGCCGAACCGACCUGGGUUGAAAACCGGGCGGAUGAGCUGUGGAUAGGAGUGAAAGGCUAAUCAAACCCGGCGAUAUCUGGUUCUCCCCGAAAUAUAUUUAGGUAUAGCCUGGCGCGUUUCGUCGCGGGUGUAGAGCACUGUUUGGGCGCGGGGCCCCACAAGGUUACCAACCUCAGACAAACUCCGAAGACCGUAGACGUUAGAGCGCUGGAGUCAGGGAGUGGGGGAUAAACUUCAUUUCCGAGAGGGAAACAACCCAGACCGUCGGCUAAGGUCCCUAAAUAACGGCUAAGUGGUUUAAAGGAUGUGGCGCUGCACAGACAACCAGGAUGUUGGCUUAGAAGCAGCCAUCAUUUAAAGAGUGCGUAAUAGCUCACUGGUCAAGUGGUGUUGCGCCGAAAAUUCUCGGGCCUGAAAGUCGUUUACCGAAGCCACGGACUCUAGAUAGCUUCGCUAUCUGGAGUGGUAGGGGAGCAUCCUGUAACGAGCGAAGCGGCGACGUAAGUCUUGCCGUGGACGGAUCAGGAGAGAGAAUGCUGGCAUGAGUAACGAGAGACAGGCGAGAAACCUGUCCGCCGAAAGCCCAAGGGUUCCUGGGUAAAGCUAAUCUUCCCAGGGUCAGUCGGGACCUAAGCCGAGGACGAAAGUCGUAGGCGAUGGACAGCAGGUUGAUAUUCCUGCACCACGAACGUAGCGUUAUCAGCGAUGGAGGGACGGAGAAGGGUAAGCCAACCGUGGCGCUGGUAGACCACGGGCUUGCUCGUAGGCCGGGGACCAGGAAAAUCCGGGCCCCACAAAAGGCUGAGGAGUGAGCCGAGCCCUUUACGGGCGUAGUGGCCCAACCCAUGCUUCCAGGAAAAGCUUCUAAGCGAGUUGCGUGCGUGCCCGUACCAAAACCGACACAGGUGGGCGAGUGGAGAACACUAAGGCGAUCGAGCGAACUAUGGUUAAGGAACUCGGCAAAUUGUCCCCGUAACUUCGGGAGAAGGGGAGCUCUGGACGGUGUAGGGCCUUGCGCCCCAAGCUGUUCGGAGCCGCAGAGAAUAGGCCCAGGCGACUGUUUACCAAAAACACAGGUCUCUGCUAAGUCGAAAAGACGAUGUAUAGGGGCUGACGCCUGCCCAAUGCCAGAACGUUAAGGAAGCUGGUUAGCCUGGCCCUUCGGGGCCUUGCGAAGCUGGCGACCGAAGCGCUGGUCAAUGGCGGCCGUAACUAUAACGGUCCUAAGGUAGCGAAAUUCCUUGUCGGGUAAGUUCCGACCUGCACGAAAGGCGUAACGAUCUGGGCGCUGUCUCGACCAUAGGCUCGGUGAAAUUGUAGUCUCGGUGAAGAUGCCGAGUACCCGCGGAAAGACGGAAAGACCCCGUGAACCUUUACUAUACCCUGGCAUUGGAUGCUGACACACCUUGUGCAGGAUAGGAGGGAGGCUG